rnacentral:lncRNA from 1 species
CCAUAUAUUUUCAAUGUAUAUACAUUCACAUAUUCAUAUAAAUUUACUCAUUAUUAUCACAAAAGGAGUGCUUUAACUAAUAACAAAGCAUCAUAAAAACAUACCUGGAUAUCGUAAUACCAAUCUCUGUUGAUAUAAGAUAUCAUCGCCUAAUAAAUUCCAAGUACUGCUCCACACAUUUUCAGGCCGACUCAUGGAACUUGAAGUAAGCAACGUCACAAAUAACCUUCUCAAAGAUGAAGCAGAAGCCCAAUUACUUGCUUCAACAAUCCCAUCAAUAUAUUCUUUAUCAUCUUCUAACAAACCCAAAGCAUAGCAAGCCUCACGAAAUGUUGAAUAUUGUACACCAUUUACACAUCUAAUAUCCUCAUAAGAAGUCGCACCUCGAACAAUAUUCAACAAACAUCUUAAGUAAAAUGAUUCACCCGAACCUGGUGGAACAUAAUACAAUCUACCUAUAGAAACUCCUUGUUUCCUUGGUUCCCAUCUCCGAUGAUUUUCCGUAAUUUUCCAAACAAAUUUUGUAGGAAAUUCAGGAUAUGUAAACUCCUUAGCUUCUGCAUACAUUUUGUUUGCUUCAAACCAACCUAAGAACAUACUUUCAUGAAUAGUUUCCCUAUUCAAAAUAUUUUCAAGCCGAUCUGCCUCUGAAAAUAUAACCGCAUGCUCACCAGGUAAAUGGUAACUCAAUCUCUCCACAGAAGGUUUUUUGUAUUGGAUUUCAAAUCCAAAUACUCUCCAAGCAGCUUCACAUGGUGAGAUGUAUCUACAAUCAUAAUACUGAUUCACCUCAUCUAUGCCCCUCCCUUCAUCAUCUUCUUCGCUUGAAUUAUAAAAUGAUGCAGUAACACGAUCAUUGCCUUUAUUAAUAUACUUGAAUAAAUACUUGAUCGAUCGUGAUUGAUUACACCAUUCUACAUUAAUAUGAGCACCAUACUUCAAAAGCAAACCACGAUUGUGAGGCACAACAUAUCUAUUGUCCAAAGAUAUACCAUUCUUCAAUAUAACGCGCCCAUUAUUCCGCCUUCUAUAUACAGGAUAUCCGUCAUCAUCAACAGUUGUUGCAUCAACAUAUUUCUUUGGAAAAUACUUCGUACAACGACCAUUCAUCAUACACGGCGAUGAAAUUCUGAGGGCACCACAUGGACCAUGAACCAUGAAUUCUUUAACAGCUUCAUAAUAUUGAGCAUCAUCUAUUGGAUCUGGAAUUUCCGCUGAAAUGAUCUUAUCUAUAUCUUCAGCAUCAGGAUGUUUAUCCUCUUUUGCCAUAAAUAGCAAAAUAUGCGCAUGUGGCAAUCCUCGUUUUUGGAAUUCAAUUGUGUAAACAACUAAGAAAAGAAAGUUUAAUUUAGAAUAUAUAUUGAAUUCAUGAAAAUAUAUGUAUAAAGAAAAUAAUCUAUAUAAAUACCUGCUCGGACCACACCGAAUACUCGAUCAUUGCGAACACUAUGAAUUAGAUUGUCUAACUUUAUUUUGAAAACUCUGGAAACUAUAUCGGGCCGAUCCUCUGACUUUAGACCUUUAGCAUCAAGAUAUCUAACUAACUCUGGCCACUUUGGAUUGCAAGUAAAAGUGAUAAACAAAUCCGG